UUCCGGUUGAUCCCGCCGGAGGCCACUGCUAUGGGGGUCCGACUAAGCCAUGCGAGUCAUGGGGCGCCUUGCGCGCACCGGCGGACGGCUCAGUAACACGUCGGUAACCUACCCUCGGGAGGGGGAUAACCCCGGGAAACUGGGGCUAAUCCCCCAUAGGCCUGAGGCACUGGAAGGUCCUCAGGCCGAAAGGGGCUCUGCCCGCCCGAGGAUGGGCCGGCGGCCGAUUAGGUAGUUGGUGGGGUAACGGCCCACCAAGCCGAAGAUCGGUACGGGCCAUGAGAGUGGGAGCCCGGAGAUGGACACUGAGACACGGGUCCAGGCCCUACGGGGCGCAGCAGGCGCGAAACCUCCGCAAUGCGGGCAACCGCGACGGGGGGACCCCCAGUGCCGUGGCAUCGCCACGGCUUUUCCGGAGUGUAAAGAGCUCCGGGAAUAAGGGCUGGGCAAGGCCGGUGGCGGCCGCCGCGGUAAUACCGGCGGCCCGAGUGGUGGCCGCUAUUAUUGGGCCUAAAGCGUCCGUAGCCGGGCCCGUAAGUCCCUGGCGAAAUCCCACGGCUCAACCGUGGGGCUUGCUGGGGAUACUGCGGGCCUUGGGACCGGGAGAGGCGGAGGGUACUCCUGGGGUAGGGGUGAAAUCCUAUAAUCCCAGGAGGACCGCCAGUGGCGAAGGCGCUCCGCUGGAACGGGUCCGACGGUGAGGGACGAAGGCCAGGGGAGCGAACCGGAUUAGAUACCCGGGUAGUCCUGGCUGUAAAGGAUGCGGGCUAGGUGUCGGGCGAGCUUCGUGCUCGCCCGGUGCCGAAGGGAAGCCGUUAAGCCCGCCGCCUGGGGAGUACGGCCGCAAGGCUGAAACUUAAAGGAAUUGGCGGGGGAGCACUACAAGGGGUGGAGCGUGCGGUUUAAUUGGAAUCAACGCCGGA
rnacentral:rRNA from 1 species